UACGGGGGGGGCAAGCGUUGUUGCGGAAUUACUGGGCGUUAAAGGGCUCGUAGGCGGCCAACUAAGUCGGACGUGAAAUCCCCAGGCUCAACCUGGGAACUGCGUCUGAUACUGGAUGGCUUGAAUCCGGGAGAGGGAUGCAGAAUUCCAGGUGUAGCGGUGAAAUGCGUAGAUAUCUGGAGGAAUACCGGUGGCGAAGGCGGCAUCCUGGACCGGCAUUGACGCUGAGGAGCGAAAGCCAGGGGGAGCAAACGGG
rnacentral:rRNA from 1 species